rnacentral:rRNA from 1 species
UACGAAGGGGCUAGCGUUGCUCGGAAUUACUGGGCGUAAAGGGCGCGUAGGCGGACAGUUAAGUCAGAGGUGAAAGCCCAGGGCUCAACCCUGGAAUUGCCUUGAUACUGGCUGUCUUGAGUAUGGGAGAGGUGAGUGGAACUCCGAGUGUAGAGGUGAAAUUCGUAGAUAUUCGGAAGAACACCAGUGGCGAAGGCGACUCACUGGCCCAUUACUGACGCUGAGCGCGAAAGCGUGGGAG